UCAUUGAAUUCAUCCUCUGGUUCGUUUCAUUGCUUCUAAAACACGAUUUUUUUUGUGGCAGGGCCGCUGCGCCGGCGUGUGGGGGCAUCCCGACAAGAAUCAAAGUGAUUCUCUUGAGCAAGCGCUUUUGUGUGAUUUCGUGGAGUCGUGGUAGAAAAAAAACCUCUUUUUUUUCUCGUUAAUUUUCGUGCAGCUCCAUGCUUCGUUACCAUCGAGGCCUUUUUCUCAUUGUCUCACUGGAGAAACAAAUCGCCAAUCGUCAGACAAGUGGAGCAUGAACCGGUUGGAUCGUGUGGGAAUUUUGAGCAAACUUUGUUGUUGCUUUCAAGCCUCAACUUCGUAACCUCGACUCCGGCUGCAAAAUUUGGAUGUAGUCUCUGUUUUCACAGAUGGAAAGCUGACGCUCGAACGUAAGGUGACUGUUUCAAAAGGUUUGCAUCACCGUUGCAACAGGCGAAGAGACCACAGCAACCAACGCGAAGCUUGCCAAAAAGGCGUCCUUGGAAAAUUUCUCCCGCUGUGUCUUGCA